UACGUAGGGGGCUAGCGUUAUCCGGAUUUACUGGGCGUAAAGGGUGCGUAGGUGGUUUCUUAAGUCAGGAGUGAAAGGAUACGGCUCAACCGUAGUAAGCUCUUGAAACUGGGAAACUUGAGUGCAGGAGAGGAAAGUGGAAUUCCUAUUGUAGCGGUGAAAUGCGUAGAUAUUAGGAGGAACACCAGUAGCGAAGGCGGCUUUCUGGACUGUAACUGACACUGAGGCACGAAAGCGUGGGGAGCAAACAGG
rnacentral:rRNA from 1 species